GCCCCUGUAGCUCAGCUGGACAGAGCACUCGCCUUGUAAGCGAGAUGUCGCCGGUUCGAUCCCGGCCGGGGGCU
rnacentral:tRNA from 2 species